rnacentral:misc_RNA from 1 species
ACGUCGCAAAGUCUUUGUCGUUUUUCUGACUAGGGAUAUGAUAAAUAGGGUACCAAGAAACAGCCAUCCAACUAGCUGGAGAAAGAUCCACACUCCUAAGUGUAGUUAGUGCAGGAUAAGUUUGAGAUAGCUCUGUUAUCUUGUCCAUGAAAGGCACUCUCCAAUAAGGAGAAGACAUCUCCAUAUACUGUAAAGAGAGGUAUCCAAGCUUUUCCCUCAGCGGCCAUGAUCCCUCCUGGUCGAAGCUCGAAUCUUCAGAAACCGCAUCCCAUGUUCUGCUGGAGUUGUUGCUCAGGGAUCUUGACAGGUUAUCGCUCCAGCUAUCGUCGCUCCAAGAAUCACUUUCACAUUCUGCCAUGUCACUAUCAUAUCUUCGGUUUCUGGAAGGAGCAACAGGCUUGCUUGUGUAGAUCUGAAUUGCA